CUCCGCCAUUGGUUGCUGAUGAAGAUCCUGUUUGGAAGAAACCAGUAAAGCUUGAAGAAGUGGAAGAACAUGAUUCAGCUGAUGAAGUGAAGCCUCAAGUUGACGAAGAAGACAGAGAAGUUAAACGAACGAGUAUACUGGAGCUAAUUAGAGCUCAACGGGCUUACAAUGCAAUAGCAGAGGAUGGAAAUCGUUGGGUUACAUUUUCUCCUAAACGUGCGAUUUCUGCUGAUCCUUGUUCCAAUAUGUAUCCUCCUCUUAAAAGGAAAGUUUAGAUCGACAUGCCUUCACCUGAGCAUGAAGGGAAUUAUUUGCAGUAUGGUGGAGAUGAUACAGAUUUGUCACCUCCACGUCAACGGAAGAGACAGUACCAUAGCCCAUCUCCUGCACCUGAUACAAAUUUGAAUUCAGAUUUGUCACCACCUCAUCAAUGAAGGUAUCGAAAUGAUACUCUACCUCCAGAACCGCCGAUGAAGCCUUCAGGAGAAGGUAGUGAUUUGUGAUCACAACGAAGGCAGCGAAAACGCCAUCAUUCUCCAUCACCUGAACCUGAUACGAAAUCCAAACAUUCCAGUGGUCUGCAUCCUGAUUUGUCACCACCUCGAAGACGUAGGGUUGAUACUGAAUCAUCUUCUGCACUGCCUAAAUUGAAUGAAGCCUUUGAGAGAAGAUAUUGACCUCCAAGACAACAGAGGCGACGGCACUAUUCUCCUUCACCGAAACCCGAGUCAGAUCUUUCACCCCCAAGGAGAAGCAAGAAGGAUGUUGAGGGAUCAAGAUCACCUGAUAAUUCUCAAUCAUCACGGCAGCGUUCAACUCAGAGUGGUAAUUGACGUGCAUCUAUGGCUCAAGACAUUUCUACACCUGGAAAAACUGGAAAGAAUCAUCUGGUUCAGCUUCUUCAAAGGAACAGCCAAAAACUGGUCUGAUUACUGGUCGUGGUAGGCGGGAAGAAAUUUUUAAAACUAAGAAGGACGCAUCAUUGUUUAGAGUAAGUUAGAGUGGGGAAAGGGCUUGGCUCAAAAGCGGGAAGCUGAAGCUAGGUUGGAGGAGUUAGACCUGGAGAAGGAAAAGUUAUUUGCGCGGACUAGGGAUGAUCUAGAGCUUGACAAAAUGCUGAAGAAAAGAGUACGAUGGGAUGAUCCCAUUGUAACAUUUGGUCAAGAAAAAGUGCUCUGAACCUGUUCUUGUAGACCUAGGGGAUAGUGAGAAGAUGACGGAAUUAAUUCCCCAGGACAUACCAGGUCCCAGCUGGAUAAAACGAGGAUUUGAUGCUGCACCAAAUCAAUCGAUAUGGUAUAAAACCAGGAACACUUUGGGAUGGGGUUGAUCGAAGUAAUGAUAGAGAUGGGCUGCUUGAGAGUAAUCUCUCCACUUAAAAGGUUAUACCUCUUGCAAAUUUCUGGAUUUCGGAGCUUUCUGAAGGUGGUGUAUUUACAGGAUUUUAAGUGCAUGCUACAUAACUUUGAAUCUUCAAGUAAAAGAGCAAGGAUUCCGGUCUGAUUGCAUCUUCUGAGAAUUUUAGUCAAAGAUGCUACUUGAUGCUGUUAAUCUCUGAUAAUGGAAGGAUGAUGAGUCAAUUAGCACAAUCGGGUUAGGUUGCUGACAUCAACUGAUUUUCUCUUUAUAUGUUACACAGUACCCAAGUAGUAGUUGUUAGAUGGAACAAGGAAGUGUUGGACUUCACUUUCGUAAAUGUCUUGAGGAAUUUCCCCCCUCUUGCACCCUUCUAUUUCCAACGGUGAUCAACGGUGUAGAAGUUGGAAAUCUUAUUCGCCA